AGUCAUGGUUGCAUGCAUGAUCAU
rnacentral:siRNA from 1 species